ACUAAAUAGAUACCCUGGUAGUCCACGCCCUAAACGAUGUCGACUAGGUGUUCGGUGAGGAGACUCAUUGAGUACCGCAGCUAACGCGUGAAGUCGACCGCCUGGGGAGUACGGUCGCAAGAUUAAAACUCAAAGGAAUUGACGGGGACCCGCACAAGCGGUGGAUGAUGUGGAUUAAUUCGAUGCAACGCGAAAACCUUACCUACCCUUGACAUGUACGGAACCCUGCCGAGAGGUGGGGUGCUCGAAAGAGAGCCGUAACACAGGUGCUGCAUGGCUGUCGUCAGCUCGUGUCGUGAGAUGUUGGGUUAAGUCCCGCAACGAGCGCAACCCUUGUCAUUAGUUGCUACGCAAGAGCACUCUAAUGAGACUGCCGGUGACAAACCGGAGGAAGGUGGGGAUGACGUCAAGUCCUCAUGGCCCUUAUGGGUAGGGCUUCACACGUCAUACAAUGGUCGGUACAGAGGGUUGCCAAGCCGCGAGGUGGAGCCAAUCCCAGAAAGCCGAUCGUAGUCCGGAUCGCAGUCUGC
rnacentral:rRNA from 1 species